UUGGAUCCUUUUCCUCAUUCGAGAAUCUCCUCCCUUCUUCCACUUCGUUCCGAAGAGUAACUUGGACCAAUUCAGUCACGUUUUCAUGUUCUAAUUGAAAACCUUCCAUUUUUGAUUAUACAAUGC